rnacentral:lncRNA from 7 species
AGUAACUCACCCUGCUCACUGUACAACACAUCGUGGGCACAAAGCGUCUUCCAGGGAAUACGCAGCACUCAGAAAGGUUCAUUCUUCAGCCUGAACAAAGUGAGGAAGAAAGAUGCCUUGCAACAUCAGCAAACAGGGCACAUUUCCCUCUACAGGAUGGGAGCUGGUCAACUCCAUAUUCCUCAGAAGUUUGAGAUCAGGUUCUUCACGUGCCUAAUUUGGACUUAAUUCAAGGCUGGGAUAAAUCAUUACAACUCAGAUGAAGUCAGUAAGAGCACAGUGACUUACAUCAGCUCUGUGUCAGUAAAUACUGACAAAAUUGAUCUCAAACUUUUUCAGAACAAAAGAUUUUUGAAGAUGGAUUAAACAACAUAAAUGCUGAGCUGUUUUGCUAGACUGCAAAUGGCAUAACACAUGCUUUGUGUGACAUCUCUGAAUUAUUCCUUCGUGGCAAUGUUGACAUUAUAUGGUAUUGACUCAUGGAAGAAGCUUAAAUACCCUUUUAAGUUUUCAAGACUCUUUGACAAAGCACUAUUUCAUUAACAAAAUGUUAAUGGAAUCUGUGAAGCCUGAAUAUACAGCAUAGCCUGCUGGUUUCAAGAAGCUGUAUUCACUGACCUAGAGGAGUGACUGCCAUAGAGCACUACAACCUCUAUUUUUAGAAUGCACCUUGUGCAGGACACCCAUGGGCUGAGUAAGGAGAACGUGAGCUUCCGUUACUUCCCCCAUCAAACAGGAUUAUCACACCUUCUGCUGGAGAAGGUCAAAACAGCACUGACAUGGGAAAUGGAUAAUAUAAGCUAAUGAAGUGUCCAGUUCUGAGAAGUAUCACAAGCUGUCUGCUGCCAAUAGAAAGCCUGGGGAUCGAACACCAACCUGUUGUGUUUCAAAGUGCUCGGAUGGACUACCUGGGCAGCUGCCAGACUCUGCUGUGGUGAAGGAGCUGUCACUGCUUACACCUAUGCCAUGGAAUUAUACAUUUCCAAAGAGACAAAUCCAAAGAGGAAGAAGAAAUGGAAUUUUGUGGGGCAGUCCAAGAGAGGCAGAUAUCCUUCUGAGAACAAGGAGAGGAAAGCCAGCCUGUGCCUGACCGCUGAGGGAUGCUUCUGCCUGUACCUACAAACUGUGUACCCAGAUGAGGAGCUUAAAAUGUGCCACCGCAUAUUUUGGUUAUUUCUGAAGCACAUAUUUUCCUGCAAAUGCAGUCAUUUUUAAUCAAUAAUUAUGUGAAUAACUGGGGUCUCACAAGGCUGUAAGACAAUAAAACGUGUUUCC